AUUAAACAUUCACAACUUUAUAUGAUUCAAUGUGAUUAAAUCAACCCAACUAUGCAAAAACAAGAAGAAGAAAACAAGCGCUCUCUCUAUUAGGCUCGAUAUGUUUGGUUGGCCAUUUUCUGACAUGCCCCUCUCAGACACUGACAUACGCUGACAAAACCACCUUCUGCUCAGUUUUACCUCAUAUUUUGAACAUUCAACAUUCAACAACAUAAAUGAUUCUACUGACUACAGUGUUGUUCUGGCUUGGAGGCCAGCUGCUGCUACCAAUGCCAGAGUGAUGGCUGGGGACCCAAACACCAAGCCCUUAUGUCUUUGUGGGAUGCGAGGCAUUCCCUCUGAGGGUAAACCUGAUGCAACCAUAUCCAGGGUCUUCUGGCCUUGAUGACACUAAGAUCUACAGCUACUGCCACUCAAGAACCAGAAGAAUUUCAGAGAACUGCUUUGGGAUCCUUGCUACAAGACGUGAGGAUCCUAUAGAAAGCUGAGACCAUUGUGAAGGCCUGCAUGGCCCUCCACAAUUACCUGCACCACAGACACUAGACAUUGACAACACAGUCAUCAACACAGUACAUCCACCCCAUGUUUGUUGACUACUCCAUAACCACUGGGGAUCUGUGUCCAGGAGAGUGAAGACAGCUCCCUGGACCAAAAAACAUGUAAAUGUUGGGAGUGUGGAUUGGAAAACGUGUUUACAUACAUUCUCUUAUUUUGGUUGAUGUCUGUCAUGUUGAGUUACACACAAUGGUUUUCUGUUCUUCUUAUUCACACUUUACAAAUCACAACAAAGACUACAAUAAUGACAGUCACUUCAUCCUUGUUUUAGCUUUUCAUAUUCUUUGGAGGCUCAACCUUGUUAUGUGUAGUGGCCUUUCAGUGGAGACCUUGCUGCUAUAGUACAUGGGUGAGAUUGAGUGUCCAACUGUAGACAAUAAGGACAGACCCCCCAAGACAUUAACCUAAUCUACAAAGUAGUACAAGUUUACUGAGUGAUUGAUUCAAAACAGUAAUAUUUUCUGCCACAAGUGCAAAUACAUUUGCAGACCUUUUAGAUAUUUAUUUACUAUCUCAAGAGGAAAAGAGUGAUAAGUAAAACACAGGGUAAACGUGUGGUGAAAGGGGAAAUAAGAGAAAAAACUAAGUAAAAACCAGUAACAAGAAUUAUUUCCUCAGUCAAUAUAAAAAAUCAUGCAAAAAAAACCUGUAAAUUACCCACCACUCUUACGUGUGAAUAAGAAAAAAAGCACACAACACACGUUUUUGGAGUGAGACGGAGGGCUCUGUAUCACUCGAGAGCGGAUGGGUCGGACACUGUACUAAUUGAUGGCCCUGUGAAAGUACAUCAUCACGUCCCUGACAAACGGGAGACAUUGAUCAGCUGGAAUAAAUACUAUCCAUGGUACCAUGACAUCGAAGAUGGCCAUUGCUGGACACUGCUGCCGUUUCUGUAACUCCUGUUGCCAAGUCAUCCACCUGCUGCAUAAUGUCAGUGUCCAAAGGAUCCUCAGCUGUCUUCCUCAGUUGGCCAUUGGAGCUGGGUCAGGAAGAUGGAGCGGAGGUUGAUGAGUUGCAGGGCAGAGAGCAAGGGUGCGCCUGGACAGUACGUUGGGUGUUGGUGAGAAGGGCAUUGGGGAAAGGGGCCGGGAGGUGAAGAAUCAGGAGGCGAUUAACCACUUUUAGAUAGGCCCUCAGGGCUCUGCUUUGUCCAAAACACCAGCCCCCCCAAAACUACAAGCAGAUUAUGAAUACAUUAGAAUACAAUGCACACAAUCUUAAAACAUCUCCAUGCGCUCCUUUGAGAUAAAAUGUU